CUAUAGUCAUAGACUUAUGGACUCAACUUCUCAAAUCUCAUAGGACUAAUCCUGUCGAUCAAGAUCGAUAAAUCCCAUCUAAAAGCACAUCUUGCUCCCACAGCUCAAAUUACAGCUAACAUCCACUAUAAAGACUCAUAAUCGAAUCAAUGCUUAUAUAUAGUAAAACUACAGUAGUCUUACUGUGAAAACUGUGACACCACAGAUCAAAAGAUCAAUAACACAACCAC
rnacentral:lncRNA from 1 species